CAGGUACAAAAAUCUUGUGCCACAGGUGGGACUCGAUCUCAUGACCUUCUUGCUGUGAGGCAACAGUGCUAACCUCUAAUUCACUGUGCUGCCAUAAAGA